CAAUAGCGUAUAUUAAAGUUGUUGCGGUUAAAAAGCUCGUAGUUGGAUUUCUGUUGGGAACGACCGGUCCGCCCAUUGGGUGUGUAUCUGGCUUGUUCUCGGCAUCUUCUUGGUGAACGUUGCUGCACUUGACUGUGUGGAGCGCUACCCAGGACUUUUACUUUGAGGAAAUUAGAGUGUUUCAAGCAGGCAUAUGCCUUGAAUACAUUAGCAUGGAAUAAUAAGAUAGGACCUCGGUUCUAUUUUGUUGGUUUCUAGAGCUGAGGUAAUGAUUAAUAGGGAUAGUUGGGGGCAUUCGUAUUUAACUGUCAGAGGUGAAAUUCUUGGAUUUGUUAAAGACGGACUACCGCGAAAGCAUUUGCCAAGGAUGUUUUCAUUGA
rnacentral:rRNA from 1 species